GCCCAUUUAGCUCAGUGGUUAGAGUGUCAGCCCACGGACUGAAGGGUCAUGGGUUCAAUUCUGAUCAAGGGCA
rfam:Myotis davidii contig99299, whole genome shotgun sequence.